CCUACGGGUGGCAGCAGUGGGGAAUAUUGGACAAUGGGGGGAACCCUGAUCCAGCCAUGCCGCGUGUGUGAAGAAGGCCCUCGGGUUGUAAAGCACUUUCAGUGAGGAAGAACGCCUGGUGGUUAAUACCCAUCAGGAAAGACAUCACUCACAGAAGAAGCACCGGCUAACUCCGUGCCAGCAGCCGCGGUAAUACGGAGGGUGGCGAGCGUUAAUCGGAAUUACUGGGCGUAAAGCGCGCGUAGGUGGCUUGAUAAGCCGGUUGUGAAAGCCCCGGGCUCAACCUGGGAACGGCAUCCGGAACUGUCAAGCUAGAGUGCAGGAGAGGAAGGUAGAAUUCCCGGUGUAGCGGUGAAAUGCGUAGAGAUCGGGAGGAAUACCAGUGGCGAAGGCGGCCUUCUGGACUGACACUGACACUGAGGUGCGAAAGCGUGGGUAGCAAACAGGAUUAGAUACCCUAGUAGUC
rnacentral:rRNA from 1 species